GUGCAAAUAGCACAGUGGUAGAGCAUCGGUUUCUUAACUCAAAGGUCGUCGGUUCAUUCCCCCACUUCCCGCA